GACCAUGUAGCUCAGUGGCUAGAGCAGUAUAUGGGGCACAUUGCCAAGAGGUUCCAGGUUCAAUUCCUGGUGUGAUCA